GAAUUCCAUACGGAAUACAUAUACUAAAAUUGGAACGAUACAGAGAAGAUUAGCAUGGCCGCUGCGCAUUGGAACGAUACAGAGAAGAUUAGCAUGGCCGC
rnacentral:snRNA from 1 species